rnacentral:lncRNA from 1 species
GUAGGGAAUCAAUAUACUCAUAUGUAGGUAAGCUACUACUCACACUCAACGGCUUAUUUGUCUCGCGGUCAUCAUUCAUAUGCACUAAGGUGUAAGAUUUAGCUAUUUUACCUUGACUUUCAUGAGUAUGUUCGUUUUUACCUCGGUGUAAGAGUCCUUCACAAGCUUGGGCAACAACUUCCUCUAAAAAAUUCUCAUCGCAAAGUGCUUGCACAAUUGAAUUUUGUGGGAAGAGUUUGGGUAGCAAUUGACAUAUAAUUUCAAUGUGUCGUUUCAUAUCUUCAAUAUUGUCAUCUAUGCGAUCAAAUGUGACAUUGAAAUUAUGGGAAGCCAUUGUACCUACCAAAAAGACACAACAAACAAGGAAAAAAAACAAAUUUGUUAGAUAAAAAAGGCCUCACCACACUCUCACUCUCAGUUUCACCUCGCACUUGGUUUCAUAAGUGUUGAAAGUUGGCUUGUACUUCAUGAGUGAUUGAGGGUCGGGCCGACUCUUGUUCAGAAUGGAUUUUUGUUUGAAACUCAAAUGAAAUCUUGUAGGACUUGAUUCAAGAACUAACAAGGAAUUCAAAAUGAGAAAAACACACAACAAAUGUAAACAUGAACAAAUGGAUACAAAACUAACUUACAAGCUAGUAGAAGAUUACUAGAUUGUCAAUUAGUGUUUGACCCAAAAAAAUGAAACUAAAAAAUCUAAAAUUUGAGCUUAAUUAUGUUGCGGUGAACAGUAAAAUGUGAUGAUGAGGCAGCCACGUAAUUGGUCAUGGUCCCCGCACAAUUCUUGGUCAAUUUUUCAAUUUGGACUUUGGUGGAAUUUAUUUAAGGAGGGAAAUUCAAACAAGUCUUUUAGCCCCUUUUCAAUUCCAAGUUUUCAAGACUUGACUUUCUUGUCUUUUCUCCUCAAAACAUGGAAUUUGGUUUCCCUUAAAUCAUGGAAAGUUGGUGAGAAGUGAUGUAAAGCUUUUUUGGUGGUUGGGGGUCUUUCAAGACUAACAAUUACUUACACCUUUUUCUUCACCUUUUUGGAUCAAAUAAGCACUUUAUUUUUUUUUUAACAAGGUAUGAAGAUAGUGAUGAACAUCAAGAACAACAACAACAUUCACCAAGAACAACAACAACAAUUCCAAGAAUAACAAUAAUCUUCCAAGAACACCAACAAUUCCUCUUUCACGUCCCACUCUAUAUCCACAACAAUAUUAUCUUCAACACUUGGCCAAGACAACUACAACUGCAAUUAAAUGGUUCUUAGGCCACCAAUUAACAACAAAAUCACGUGGUCAAGCUAAGAACAACAACAAGGUGAAGACCAUACACCCAAAGUGGAGCCACAACAACAAAAAUGUCCAAAACACUUUCAAGUCACCACAACAAUGGUCAAGAUUAUAAGCUCAACAUUAGAUCUAGUCACUUUUAGUGUCGGUGAGAAAGGAACCAACACUAGAAACACACUAAACAAGUAAAAGACUACUAAAUCUAGUCACAAAACUAACAAAUCUUGGCCCACAACAAAAACACAAUUUUGGCCAAGAACACAACCACAGACAGAUUUGCUUCUUCUUUUUUUUUUUCAGCUUUUCAACAAUUUUUUUUUAAUUUUCUAACAAGCAAGCCCAAGAUUGAUCUUGUAGGAAUAAGAUCUAGCCAUGCUUAAGAUGGACCACUCUUGGAUUCAACAAAUACGAGAAGAAAAAGAGAUAAAAAGGUGUGUUUCAACACCAAAACAACUACAAAACCUGAUGAACAAGAUGGACACAAGAUUUGGAUUCAACAAGAACAAAAGAGAACAAGAUACAAACACUUACAAAAUUGCAAGAAAGGUAAAGAUAGAUAGUGUGACAUAGAUUACUACAAUAACAAAGAAACUAAGUGUAGAUCCAACACUAAGACCCUUAAUAUAUGUAAUAACAACACCAACACUUUUAAGUGGACACAACAGGGAUUUCAACCUCCCCAAGCACCUACGUUUCCAAUCCUUGAAUGCAACACAAGUGAAAUCUACACUUGUAUCACCCUAGUUUCGGGUUGGUGGUCUUCUUUCCUUAGAGAGGAAAAUGUUUCAAAUAUUAUACACUCAUCAUAUUUAUCAAAAUCUGAAAAUGAAACCUUACAUUACUCUAUUUAUAGUGUAUUAUAAAUAAUAG